rnacentral:rRNA from 1 species
GACGAACGCUGGCGGCGUGCUUAACACAUGCAAGUCGAACGGAAAGGCCCUGCUUUUGUGGGGUGCUCGAGUGGCGAACGGGUGAGUAACACGUGAGUAACCUGCCCUUGACUUUGGGAUAACUUCAGGAAACUGGGGCUAAUACCGGAUAGGAGCUCCUGCUGCAUGGUGGGGGUUGGAAAGUUUCGGCGGUUGGGGAUGGACUCGCGGCUUAUCAGCUUGUUGGUGGGGUAGUGGCUUACCAAGGCUUUGACGGGUAGCCGGCCUGAGAGGGUGACCGGCCACAUUGGGACUGAGAUACGGACCAGACUCCUACGGGAGGCAGCAGUGGGGAAUAUUGCACAAUGGGCGGAAGCCUGAUGCAGCAACGCCGCGUGCGUGAUGACGGCCUUCGGGUUGUAAACCGCUUUCGCCUGUGACGAAGCGUGAGUGACGGUAAUGGGUAAAGAAGCACCGGCUAACUACGUG